CCUUUUCGCCUCUCCUCGUUCUCUCCCUCGCCUUUCCUUUCCUUUCUCUUCCUCUCUUCCUCGCUCCUCGGUCUCGGCGCUCUCCCAGCUUUUCUUCUCCUGGCUCCUGGUUCCCCGCUACGCCACCAGUCCACUCACCUCUCUCCUUGCCCUACUCCCUCCGCUACUCCCUGACGCCCCCUGCAGCCCCCAGCCCCCCUGCAGGCCCCAGCCCCAGUAAGUUUGGAGAGGGGAACAAAUGCUGAGCCUAGGUAGGGACCACCUUGGGGAGGAAGCCAAAAUCACACUGCUCACCCGAGAGCCCCUGCCCCGCGCUGGCACGCCCCCGCCUGGAGUGCACUCGUGGCCCCGGGCGCUGUCAGGUACCCGAAUUGGGGUAAGCGAGUUGGUAACUGGACCUCCAAAGCCUUCCCCUGGGGUUGACUUUGGAAUUGUUCCUACAGCCCGGGGACUGGUGGUUGGGGUGGGAAGAGGACCACCACCACCAAGGGUGACUUUGAGGGAGACUAGAGCGCGGCCCCCCGACAGCUGUGGGGGAGCGGGGGUGUGGUGGCCACAGUUGAUCCGCGGCACCUAGCACAGUCCAGAGACGCGUGGAUUCCCCUAGGCCCGGCGCGGAGCGCCCGGGGCGCUGUGCGCGCGGGCUGCGUGGGAGCUGCUAGGCUGGGGCCUGGCCCUCUGCCCCGGACUGGGCACUGCCAGAGAUAGCGGAGAGCUAAGGCUGCCACCGUGUCGGAGGCGAGGCGAGGAAGGGAGCUGGAAUAACAAAGGGAGGUAAUGGGGUAGAUUGGAUACCUCUGGGGUCUUGGAAGAAGCUAUGACUUAUUUACUGUCUACUAUGUGGGAGCUCAGGAGGGGGAAUUGCACUGAAGAUUUGUCCCAUCGUGAAGCAAGAGCACUGGAACUUACACUCCACCAUCAGGCCCUGUCACAGGAGAACAAAGAAGGAAGGCAGAGGAGAUCAUGCUCCGGCCAGCAGGGAAUCUCCAUUUUUUUCAGCCUCAUACCUUGGAAAGUACAAAGGAGUGAGAGCUGGGACUACCAGCCAGAGGGUUCAUGGAGGUAGUGGGAGGGGAAGAUGGGUUCUGCAUGGAGCCACUCCAGGGACUUUUCUUCUGUCUCACAGCCUGACAAUCACCUCUAGCUGUUCUCAGUCCCAUUCUCAUCAAUGACCUCGUCUCCUGAUUUUGUACAAUAUCUAGGUGACCUUCUCUUCUUUCCAUCUUCAAACGCUUGAUCAUUGAUGCUCCCUUUUCUCUUCUCUCUCCUCCUGGGAAAAGAGAAGGACCAACAUCCCCCUUUCCCUUCCUCCUGUGCUGUCCCGACCCCUCUGAGACCUGGCUCUAGCAGUAAGUCCCUCUCUCUUCUGCAGCACCAGCCUCUGCCCAUCCCUGCCCUCUGCACACAAAGCUCUCACAUUGUCUGCACUUUAAGAACUUUUGUGGCAAACCCUGGCAAAUCCUGCCACUUGUUUCCACUCUUCUCAAAUGGCUUUGAGGUCAUCAUUGACCUAUCCCAUUUGACCCUGUCCUGUAUCUGAUGUUGUACCCUUUCUCCUUGAUCCCACUCUGGCAACUCUCCCACUCCCCUUUCUUGGAUCAACUGUCUUGCUCCUCAGUCUUGAUCAAUGCCUCCUUCUCUCUCUUUAGCCUUGGCCCUUUUUGGCCAGGGAAAUAAAUGUGAAAUACAUAAAGCUUCAUUUUAUCUUAUGAUUAUAGCUAUGUUGAUGUUACCCAAGACCUAAAAGUCACACUCUCUAAUUACACUUCCCUCCUGUGUUCUGGGUCCUCUUGGACCAGUCCUUACUCUGGCUCCCCUCCUGGAUGUCUCCCAGACUUCUAAUUAGAAUUACUGUUUCCUAUAUCAAGCUAAUUAUCUUUCCCACCAACCUCCUCCAUCCUUGGGUGAAAGCAUCACUUGGUUGCAAAAGUCAGAAAUCUGGGUUUCAUUCUUGCGGUAGGUAGAAUAAUGCCCCCAGGCCCCAGGUUUUGACAUCCGAAUCCCUGGGACUUUGCAGAUGUGAUUCAGUUUAGGAUUUUGAGAUGGGGAGAUUAUCUGGGAGAGCCUGAUGUCAUCAUAAGGUUCUUAUAAGAGGGAGGCAGGAGGGUUAGAGUGAGUAGUAAGAGAUGCAACAGUGGAAGCAAGAGGUUGGGGUGAUGUGGCCACAAGCCCAGGAGUGCUGACAGACAUCAGAAGCUGGAAGGGACAAGGAAUGGUUUCUCCUCUGGAGCCUCCAGAAAGAACCAGCCCUGCUGACACCUUGAUUUUAGCCUUGGAAGACUCAUUUUGGACUUCUGACCUUGAACGUUGUAAGAGAAUAAAUUUACAUAUUUUAAACUGGUA
rnacentral:lncRNA from 1 species